GGUUGCAACAUUGUAGGCAAGAGAGAAGCAGAAAGGAGGAGCUUGGAAAGAUCAGCAGGGGUCAGACUCUGUGGAGCCACAGUAAGGAAUUCAUCCUGAGCAUGACGGGAAAACUAUUGAGGGCUUCCAUUGGGAAUGUGACAGCAUAGAGCUAUGUUAAAUGCAUGGCUGCUGGAGCCAGCCUGCCCGGGUGCAGAUCUCAACUCCACCAUUUCCUAGCUAUGUGAUAUGGAGCCACACCAUGGGAGAAUCUGGGUCCGGAUCCCUGAGUCAUCACUGAAGAGCUGCCCAGAAGAGUAACCUAAUUGACAUCAGACUGCGAGGUGACUUGGAAAUAAACAUUUUAUUGUGU
rnacentral:lncRNA from 1 species